CCUACGGGUGGCAGCAGUGGGGGAUAUUGCACAAUGGGGGGAACCCUGAUGCAGCGACGCCGCGUGGGUGAAGGAGUGCUUCGGCAUGUAAAGCGCUAUCGGCAGGGAAGAAACAAGACGGUACCUGACUAAGAAGCUCCGGCUAACUACGUGCCAGCAGCCGCGGUAAGACGUAGGGGGCGAGCGUUAUCCGGAUUUACGGGGUGUAAAGGGUGCGUAGACGGGCAAGCAAGCCAGGGGUGAAAUCCCGGGGCCUAACCCAGGAACUGCCCUUGGAACUGCAUGGCUGGAGUACGGGAGGGGCAGGCGGAAUUCCUGGUGUAGCGGUGAAAUGCGUAGAGAUCAGGAGGAACACCGGCGGCGAAGGCGGCCUGCUGGACCGCGACUGACGUUGAGGCUCGAAAGCGUGGGGAGCGAACAGGAUUAGAUACCCCGGUAGUC
rnacentral:rRNA from 1 species